UGUUCUGUAGCUUAGUUGGUUAAGCCACCGGCCCAGCGAUACGGAGUCGUGGGUUUGAAUCUCACCAAAACAA
rnacentral:tRNA from 1 species